rnacentral:rRNA from 1 species
AGGGAAUCUUCCGCAAUGGACGAAAGUCUGACGGAGCAACGCCGCGUGAGCGAAGAAGGUCUUCGGAUCGUAAAGCUCUGUUGUCAGGGAAGAACAAGUACCGUUCGAACAGGGCGGUACCUUGACGGUACCUGACGAGGAAGCCACGGCUAACUACGUGCCAGCAGCCGCGGUAAUACGUAGGUGGCAAGCGUUGUCCGGAAUUAUUGGGCGUAAAGCGCGCGCAGGCGGUUCCUUAAGUCUGAUGUGAAAUCUCGCGGCGCAACCGCGAGCGGCCAUUGGAAACUGGGGAACGUGAGUGCAGGAGAGGGGAGCGGAAUUCCACGUGUAGCGGUGAAAUGCGUAGAGAUGUGGAGGAACACCAGUGGCGAAGGCGGCUCUCUGGCCUGUAACUGACGCUGAGGCGCGAAAGCGUGGGGAGCGAAC